rnacentral:rRNA from 1 species
GAUGAACGCUGGCGGCGUGCCUAAUACAUGCAAGUCGAGCGGUAAGGCUCCUUCGGGAGUACACGAGCGGCGGACGGCUGAGUAACGCGUAGGAACGUACCCCAAACUGAGGGAUAACUGCUCGAAAGAGUAGCUAAUACCGCAUGUGCUCUACGGAGUAAAGCUACGGCGGUUUGGGAACGGCCUGCGUACGAUUAGAUUGUUGGUGAGGUAAUGGCUCACCAAGUCGACGAUCGUUAGCUGGUCUGAGAGGAUGAUCAGCCAGACUGGGACUGAGAACGGCCCAGACUCCUACGGGAGGCAGCAGUAGGGAAUUUUCCACAAUGGACGAAAGUCUGAUGGAGCAACGCCGCGUGCAGGAUGAAUGCCUUCGGGUUGUAAACUGCUUUUAUCUGGGAGCAAUAAGGUUUACGCGUAGACCGAUGAGAGUACCAUAUGAAUAAGCAUCGGCUAACUCCGUGCCAGCAGCCGCGGUAAAACGUCUA